AAUAAGUGUAGUUUUGUACUAUUCACGUUCAACGUUUAACCGUUCGUCUUAUUUGAAAUUUUUUAUGAUUAGUAUUUUUAUUGCUAUCAGAUGAUAAAACAUAAAUAGUAUUUUAUGUGUGACUAAAUAUUUUUAAAUUUUUUACAAAUUUUUUAAAUAAGAUGGACGGUCAAACGUUGGGCACGGAUAUCCACGGCUAUACUUAUU
rfam:Oryza barthii chromosome 3, whole genome shotgun sequence.